rnacentral:snoRNA from 2 species
UUGCACUGUUCGUAACCUGUUAACAGUACCGUUCUGAUAAUGGGUUCCAUUCCAGUGCUACAUGACACCCCAAGAUAAUAAAAGGCUGGCUGUUUGUCUGCCUGGCCCCUUUAUUUUGGGAGACAUAA